GACGAACGCUGGCGGCGUGCCUAAUACAUGCAAGUAGAACGCACAGUUUAUACCGUAGCUUGCUACACCAUAGACUGUGAGUUGCGAACGGGUGAGUAACGCGUAGGUAACCUGCCUGGUAGCGGGGGAUAACUAUUGGAAACGAUAGCUAAUACCGCAUAAUAUUGAUUAUUGCAUGAUAAUUGAUUGAAAGAUGCUAUUGCAUCACUACCAGAUGGACCUGCGUUGUAUUAGCUAGUAGGUGAGGUAACGGCUCACCUAGGCGACGAUACAUAGCCGACCUGAGAGGGUGAUCGGCCACACUGGGACUGAGACACGGCCCAGACUCCUACGGGAGGCAGCAGUAGGGAAUCUUCGGCAAUGGACGAAAGUCUGACCGAGCAACGCCGCGUGAGUGAAGAAGGGUUUCGGAUCGUAAAGCUCUGUUGUAAGAGAAGAACGGGUGUGAGAGUGGAAAGUUCACACUGUGACGGUAUCUUACCAGGAAGGGACGGCUAACUACGUG
rnacentral:rRNA from 1 species